GGCGAAAUAUAGCUCAGCUGUGAAAGCUUUAGACUCAUGAUCUAAAUGUCCCUGGUUAGAACCCACGUUUCGCCA